rnacentral:lncRNA from 1 species
CUAAAAAUGCUAGAGAGAGAAGCUCUGCCUUCUCUCUAACUUUCUCAUCAUCUUCUUCCAUGUUUCAUCACCUUCUUCUCCACUGCAGCUGCUUAGGUAAGUAAACUUAAGCAGAGAUUGUUAUGGCAAGAAGGAGAGGUCGCCCAAGAAAAGAAGUAGUACCAAUUUAUGCGAGUGAUGUAGUCCCAAAAACUGUUACCACUGGACCGAUGGUAGCUUCUACUGUUCCAUCAAAUCCUGCUGCGAUUACUGUUCCAUUGCCUCAAGUAACAACAGAUCCACAACCAUCUGGAGUUCCAGUGAUACCAAAAGCUGUUACCACUGUACCGAUGGUAGGUACUACUGUUCCAUUAAAUCCUACUGCUAACACUGUUCAAUUGCCUCAAGUAACACCAGAUCCACAAUAAUCUGGAGUUUCAGUGAUACCUAUAGCAAAUAUCAAGCCUGUAACUGGUCCGAUGGAGCGUGAGAAUGGAGUCCAGAUCUGCAUGCAACAAGCAACACCAGCUGAUGAUCCAAAAUCUGU